GCAAGUCGAGCGAACGGACGAGAAGCUUGCUUCUCUGAUGUUAGCGGCGGACGGGUGAGUAACACGUGGAUAACCUACCUAUAAGACUGGGAUAACUUCGGGAAACCGGAGCUAAUACCGGAUAAUAUUUUGAACCGCAUGGCUCAAAAGUGAAAGACGGUCUUGCUGUCACUUAUAGAUGGAUCCGCGCUGCAUUAGCUAGUUGGUAAGGUAACGGCUUACCAAGGCAACGAUGCAUAGCCGACCUGAGAGGGUGAUCGGCCACACUGGAACUGAGACACGGUCCAGACUCCUACGGGAGGCAGCAGUAGGGAAUCUUCCGCAAUGGGCGAAAGCCUGACGGAGCAACGCCGCGUGAGUGAUGAAGGUCUUCGGAUCGUAAAACUCUGUUAUUAGGGAAGAACAUAUGUGUAAGUAACUGUGCACAUCUUGACGGUACCUAAUCAGAAAGCCACGGCUAACUACGUGCCAGCAGCCGCGGUAAUACGUAGGUGGCAAGCGUUAUCCGGAAUUAUUGGGCGUAAAGCGCGCGUAGGCGGUUUUUUAAGUCUGAUGUGAAAGCCCACGGCUCAACCGUGGAGGGUCAUUGGAAACUGGAAAACUUGAGUGCAGAAGAGGAAAGUGGAAUUCCAUGUGUAGCGGUGAAAUGCGCAGAGAUAUGGAGGAACACCAGUGGCGAAGGCGACUUUCUGGUCUGUAACUGACGCUGAUGUGCGAAAGCGUGGGGAUCAAACAGGAUUA
rnacentral:rRNA from 1 species